ACGGGAGGCAGCAGUGGGGAAUUUUGCGCAAUGGGGGCAACCCUGACGCAGCAACGCCGCGUGCGGGAUGACGGCCUUCGGGUUGUAAACCGCUUUCAGCAGGGAAGACCAUGACGGUACCUGCAGAAGAAGCUCCGGCUAAAUACGUGCCAGCAGCCGCGGUAAUACGUAUGGAGCGAGCGUUAUCCGGAUUCAUUGGGCGUAAAGCGCGCGUAGGCGGCGCUUCAAGCGGAACCUCUAAUCCAAGGGCUCAACCCAUGGCCGGGUUCCGAACUGGGGCGCUCGAGUGCGGUAGGGGCAAGUGGAAUUCCCGGUGUAGCGGUGGAAUGCGCAGAUAUCGGGAAGAACACCGAUGGCGAAGGCAGCUUGCUGGGCCGCCACUGACGCUGAGGCGCGAAAGCUAGGGGAGCGAACAGGAUUAGAUACCCUGGUA
rnacentral:rRNA from 1 species